UACGGAGGAUCCGAGCGUUAUCCGGAUUUAUUGGGUUUAAAGGGUGCGCAGGCGGGAGAUUAAGUCGGCGGUGAAAUUUUGCAGCUCAACUGUAAAAGUGCCUUCGAAACUGGUUUCCUUGAGUGUAGAUGAAGUAGGCGGAAUUUGUGGUGUAGCGGUGAAAUGCAUAGAUAUCACGAGGAACUCCGAUUGCGCAGGCAGCUUACUAAACUACUACUGACGCUCAGGCACGAAGGAGUGGGGAUCAAACAGGAUUAGAUACCCGGGUAGU
rnacentral:rRNA from 1 species